GGGUGAGUAACAUAUCGGAACGUACCCAGUCGUGGGGGAUAACUAUCCGAAAGGAUAGCUAAUACCGCAUACGUCCUGAGGGAGAAAGCGGGGGACCGCAAGGCCUCGCGCGAUUGGAGCGGCCGAUAUCGGAUUAGCUAGUUGGUGAGGUAAAGGCUCACCAAGGCGACGAUCCGUAGCUGGUCUGAGAGGACGACCAGCCACACUGGAACUGAGACACGGUCCAGACUCCUACGGGAGGCAGCAGUGGGGAAUUUUGGACAAUGGGGGCAACCCUGAUCCAGCCAUUCCGCGUGAGUGAAGAAGGCCUUCGGGUUGUAAAGCUCUUUCAGCAGGAACGAAACGGUGGUCCCUAAUACGGACUACUAAUGACGGUACCUGAAGAAGAAGCACCGGCUAA
rnacentral:rRNA from 1 species